GGAGUUAGCCGGUGCUUCUUCUGUGAGUGAUGUCCUUCCUGCCGGCUAUUAACCCGCAGGACUUCUUCCUCACUGAAAGUGCUUUACAACCCGAAGGCCUUCUUCACACACGCGGCAUGGCUGGAUCAGGGUUGCCCCCAUUGUCCAAUAUUCCCCACUGCUGCCUCCCGUAGGAGUCUGGGCCGUGUCUCAGUCCCAGUGUGGCUGAUCAUCCUCUCAGACCAGCUACGGAUCGUCGCCUUGGUGAGCCGUUACCUCACCAACCAGCUAAUCCGACAUAGGCUCAUCCGAUAGCGCGAGGCCCGAAGGUCCCCCGCUUUCCCCCGUAGGGCGUAUGCGGUAUUAGCCUGGGUUUCCCCAGGUUAUCCCCCACUACCGGGCAGAUUCCUAUGCAUUACUCACCCGUCCGCCGCUCGCCACCAGGGAGCAAGCUCCCCGUGCUGCCGCUCGACUUGCAUGUGUUAGGCCUGCCGCCAGCGUUCAAUCUGAGCCAGGAUCAAACUCUGA
rnacentral:rRNA from 1 species